rnacentral:lncRNA from 1 species
GGUGAGUUUUUGAAUAAAAUCCAAUGGCUAAAACUAUGCAAUACACCAACCACUCCGUUUCAUAGCGAACUUCGUGCGAACAUGAAUUGUCCAAUUUCAAGGACCAAUCGACAUCGGAUGGAGUACAAAACAUGGGGAACAUCGUAAUAUAGUGUGAGUAGUCAUUUGGUGGCUUUCAAGUGAAAUUCAAUCUCUAGAACUGUGAAUAAAGCAAC